rnacentral:rRNA from 1 species
UACGGGGGGGAGCAAGCGUUGUUCGGAUUUACUGGGCGUAAAGGGCGCGUAGGCGGUCGUGACAAGUCACUUGUGAAAUCUCCGGGCUUAACUCGGAACGGUCAAGUGAUACUGUCGGACUAGAGUACAGAAGGGGCAACUGGAAUUCUCGGUGUAGCGGUGAAAUGCGUAGAUAUCGAGAGGAACACCUGCGGCGAAGGCGGGUUGCUGGGCCGAUACUGACGCUGAGGAGCGAAAGCGUGGGGAGCAAACAGG